rnacentral:rRNA from 1 species
UACGUAGGGUCCGAGCGUUGUCCGGAAUUACUGGGCGUAAAGAGCUCGUAGGUGGUUUGUCGCGUUGUUCGUGAAAACUCACAGCUUAACUGUGGGCGUGCGGGCGAUACGGGCAGACUUGAGUACUGCAGGGGAGACUGGAAUUCCUGGUGUAGCGGUGGAAUGCGCAGAUAUCAGGAGGAACACCAGUGGCGAAGGCGGGUCUCUGGGGCCGAUACUGACGCUGAGGAGCGAAAAGCCGUGGGGAGCGAACAGG